rnacentral:rRNA from 1 species
GAUGAACGCUGGCGGCGUGCCUAAUACAUGCAAGUCGAACGCUGGAAAUCUAGCUUGCUCGCUUGAAGGAGUGGCGAACGGGUGAGUAAUACAUAAGCAACCUACCCACGAAGACUGGGAUAAUCUCUGGAAACGGGGACUAAUACCGGAUAGGUAAUCGGAAGGCAUCUUCUGAUUAUUAAAGGUUAAAAACACUGGUGGAUGGGCUUAUGGCGCAUUAGUUAGUUGGUGAGGUAACGGCCCACCAAGACGAUGAUGCGUAGCCGGCCUGAGAGGGUGAACGGCCACAUUGGGACUGAGACACGGCCCAGACUCCUACGGGAGGCAGCAGUAGGGAAUGUUCGGCAAUGGGGGAAACCCUGACCGAGCAACGCCGCGUGAGUGAGGACGGCCUUCGGGUUGUAAAGCUCUGUUGUAAGGGAAGAACGGUAGAUAGAGAAUAUCUAAAUGACGGUACCUGACCAGAAAGCCACGGCUAACUACGUG